UCCCCUCCCCCGCCGCCCGCUCGGUGCCGGUGCCGGUGCCGGUGGCCGGGCAGCGCCGAGCAUGGCCGGGGCCCGGGGGUGCCGCCGCCGCCCGGUGCUGCCCGCAGCGGUGCCCGCAGCCCUGCCCGCAGCCCUGGGGCUCUGCCUGCCCCUCUGCCUGCUGCUCCCGCUGCCCGCCGCCGCCUGGAGCCCGGCCCUGCUGCCGCCCGCCGCCCGCAGCAACUGGUGCUCCUACACGGUGACACGGACGGUGUCGUGCCACGUCCAGAACGGGACCUUCCUCCAGAGGGUCUUCCAGGGCUGCCGCUGGCCCCUGGCCUGCAGCGGGGGCAGCUACCGCGCCGUGCUGCGGCCCCUCUACAGGGUGGCCUACAGGACGCUGACGGCGCUGGAAUGGCGCUGCUGCCCCGGGCACGCCGGCAGCCACUGCCAGGAAGGAGGCGGUGCCCCACGGGGGGGUCCCCCCGUGCUGACCCCCCUUUCCUCGGCAGAGGCGCGCAGCCCCCUCACCCUGCGGGACCCCAACCGCCCCAGCGCCGCCCCCCGCCGGCCCCCCCUGCACCCCACGGCCUUCUCAGGGUGCCUGAACUGCAGCCGUGUCGGGGAGCUGACAGCCCGGCUCGCCACCCUGGAGGCACAGGUGGCCCGGCUGGCGGUGGCCGAGCCCCCCAUGCCAGCAGCACCCAAAGGCAGCAGCCCGGGCAGGGGGCCCCAGGCCGGGCAGCUCUGGGGGUCCCCGGCCGCCCGCGGGAGCCCCGGGGAUGACGGGACACCCGGCUGGAGGGGACCCCCCGGCCCCAAGGGCGACGCGGGAGGACGGGGACCCUCGGGAAUUCCUGGAGUGAAGGGUCCAGUGGGACCACCAGGUCCCCCCGGCCCCCCAGGACCACCCGGCCGGGAUGGAGCCAGGGGGCUCCCCGGAGAGAAGGGGUCCCCCGGGCCCCCCGGCCCCCCGGGCCCCCCUGCCCCUGUGGGGCCAGCGAUCCCCAGACUGGCCGAGCCCAGGGACCCGGUCCUCUCCAACACCUUCACCGAAGCCACCAGGAGCAUCGUGGGUCCCAUGGGACCCCCCGGACCUGUGGGGCCAAUGGGUCCCCCCGGCCCCCCAGGUCCCGUCGGUCCCCCCGGGCCCCCAGGAGCCGAUGGCAGGGCAGGAGCACCCGGAGCUGCCGGGCCCCCGGGCGAGAAGGGGGACAGGGGUCCCCAGGGCCAGCCGGGCAGCCGCGGGCAGGACGGGGCGCAGGUAGGUGCGUGGGUCGGGGUCCCCCCGGCCGCAGCCCCCCGUGCCCCCCCUGCCAGGCCCUCUCCUCUCUGUGUUUCAGGGCGAGCCGGGCCCCCGGGGCGAGCCGGGCGAGAGGGGCACUUGGGGGGAGGGUUUGCACCAGCUCCGCGAGGCGCUGAAGAUUUUAGCGGAGAGGGUUUUAAUCUUGGAAACAAUGAUUGGGCUCUACGGUGAGUAGGGGGACGGGGACCCCCGGGGUGACCCCCAGCCCGGCCAGCAGGUCACCGGGUCCCCGUGACCUCACGGUGGCCCUUGGCUCACCGAUCUCAUGGAGCUGCAGGGAGGGCACCCUCAGCAGCCCCUCCUCGUGCCAUGGGGGGACAGGGACAGGUCCAGCCCCUCCAGGGGGUGACCCCAUCCCUGCCGGGAGGUCACCAGGCCCCCGUGACAUCAGCCAUGCACGAUGUCAUCGCCCACAUGGUGGCAUCAUGGCCAGCACUGGGGGCCACUCGAGGGAAGGGCCACCAGGGUCACCCUCACCUCCAGCUGGGCACCCCAGAGCCCCCCCAGGCACUGCCCCCCUCGGGCAGGGACACCUGUGACAGUCUCAGUGUUGGGGACAAGCGGGUGGCCCUCUGAGAAGGUUGGGGACAUGUCCCCCCACGUUUUGGAGAGCUCAGUGCGCCGGGGGUGGCAGAGGGAGCACCCCCAGCUGGGGACAUCAGUGUUCCCCCAAAUGUCGGGGGGCUCAGCGUGCUGGGGAUGGCAGAGGGAGCACCCCCAAGACAGGGACAUCAGUGUCCCCAUCAGGGCACCGCCAGGGACAUCAAGCCAGCACAAGGGCCCCCUGUUGUCACCAUGGACCCGCAGGGACGGGGGAGCCCCCAGCACCCUUCUGAGACUGGGAAGACCCUCCUAGGAGACCUGGCACCCCCUCCUCGUGCCCCAGCACCCCCAUCCCGCUGGGGCUGCCCCCCUGCCGUGCCCCCGCCAUGCUGUGCCACCCCUGCCGUGCCGUGUCCCCAGCCCGUGUCCCCGUGUCCCCGUGCCCGCCGCGGGGCCAACGCGCUCUGCUCUGCUCUGCUCUGCUCUCUCCCUCUCCCCCAGGCCAGUAGCUUCCAAACCCUCCUGCAGCAGCAGGCCCGGCUGGAGGUCCUGGCUAGAAGGGUCACCUUGCUGGAAGCCAUCAUCUGGCCAGAGCCAGAGCCCGGCUCGGGCAGCGGCGCCCCCAGCACGGCGACCCCCGGGGUGCCCCG